rnacentral:rRNA from 1 species
GAUGAACGCUGGCGGCGUGCCUAAUACAUGCAAGUCGAGCGAACAGACGAGGAGCUUGCUCCUCUGACGUUAGCGGCGGACGGGUGAGUAACACGUGGAUAACCUACCUAUAAGACUGGGAUAACUUCGGGAAACCGGAGCUAAUACCGGAUAAUAUAUUGAACCGCAUGGUUCAAUAGUGAAAGACGGUUUUGCUGUCACUUAUAGAUGGAUCCGCGCCGCAUUAGCUAGUUGGUAAGGUAACGGCUUACCAAGGCAACGAUGCGUAGCCGACCUGAGAGGGUGAUCGGCGACACUGGAACGGAGACACGGUCCAGACUCCUACGGGAGGCAGCAGUAGGAAAUCUUCCGCAAAGGGCGAAAGCCUGACGGAGCAACGGCGCGUGAGUGAUGAAGGUCUUCGGAUCGUAAAACUCUGUUAUUAGGGAAGAACAAAUGUGUAAGUAACUAUGCACGUCUUGACGGUACCUAAUCAGAAAGCCACGGCUAACUACGUG